rnacentral:rRNA from 1 species
GAUGAACGCUGGCGGCGUGCCUAAUACAUGCAAGUCGAGCGAACAGACGAGGAGCUUGCUCCCCUGACGUUAGCGGCGGACGGGUGAGUAACACGUGGAUAACCUACCUAUAAGACUGGGAUAACUUCGGGAAACCGGAGCUAAUACCGGAUAACAUGUUGAACCGCAUGGUUCAACAGUGAAAGACGGUCUUGCUGUCACUUAUAGAUGGAUCCGCGCCGCAUUAGCUAGUUGGUAAGGUAACGGCUUACCAAGGCAACGAUGCGUAGCCGACCUGAGAGGGUGAUCGGCCACACUGGAACUAAGACACGGUCCAGACUCCUACGGGAGGCAGCAGUAGGGAAUCUUCCGCAAUGGGCGAAAGCCUGACGGAGCAACGCCGCGUGAGUGAAGAAGGUCUUCGGAUCGUAAAACUCUGUUAUUAGGGAAGAACAAAUGUGUAAGUAACUAUGCACGUCUUGACGGUACCUAAUCAGAAAGCCACGGCUAACUACGUG